GCGAUCAUACCAGCACUAAUGUGCCCGAUCCCAUUAGAACUUCGUAGUUAAACAUGCUUGCGCGAUAGUAGUAUUAGGAUGGGUGACCUCUGAGAAGUCCUUGUGUUACACCA